rnacentral:misc_RNA from 1 species
UACUGAGGGUGCGUGCGUUAAUCGGAAUUACUGGGCGUAAAGCGCGCGUAGGCGGCGUGAUAAGCCGCUUGUGAAAGCCCCGGGCUCAACCGGGGAACGGCAUCCGGAACUGUCAAGCUAGAAUACAGGAGAGGAAGGUAGAAUUCCCGGUGUAGCGGUGAAAUGCGUAGAGAUCGGGAGGAAUACCAGUGGCGAAGGCGGCCUUCUGGACUGAUACUGACACUGAGGUGCGAAAGCGUGGGUAGCAAACAGG